GCAGUUGUGGUUCAGUGGUUAAAGCUUUAGCUUGCUAAUUAGAUGGUCAGGGGUUCGAUCCCCAACACCACCC